rfam:Legionella israelensis strain Bercovier 4 Lisr_ctg149, whole genome shotgun sequence.
CCUGGCGACCAUAGCUGUUUGGUACCACCUGAUACCUUUCCGAACUCAGUAGUGAAACAAACACGCGCUGAUGAUAGUGUGGGGUCUCCCCAUGCGAAAGUAAGUCAUCGCCAGGG